AACUUGGUAGCCUAGUUGGUAAAGGCAACACUUCUAGCACGGCUAAGGUCGCUGGUUCAAAUCCCGCCCAAGUUG
rnacentral:tRNA from 1 species